GACCCAGACUCCUACGGGAGGCAGCAGUGAGGAAUAUUGGUCAAUGGGCGCAAGCCUGAACCAGCCAAGUCGCGUGAGGGAAGACGGCCCUACGGGUUGUAAACCUCUUUUGCCGGGGAGCAAGCCUGGGCACGUGUGCCCAGGCGGAGAGUACCCGGAGAAAAAGCAUCGGCUAACUCCGUGCCAGCAGCCGCGGUAAUACGGAGGAUGCGAGCGUUAUCCGGAUUUAUUGGGUUUAAAGGGUGCGCAGGCGGAUUUUUAAGUCAGCGGUCAAAUCGUGGGGCUCAACCCCAUCCAGCCGUUGAAACUGGGGAUCUAGAGUGUGCGAGAGGUAUGCGGAAUGCGUGGUGUAGCGGUGAAAUGCAUAGAUAUCACGCAGAACUCCGAUUGCGAAGGCAGCAUACCGGCGCUCAACUGACGCUCAUGCACGAAAGUGUGGGUAUCGAACAGGAUUAGAUACCCUUGUA
rnacentral:rRNA from 1 species